AAAAUCUUUGUCAUUUCUGCACUAGUCUUUUGCAUUGCAUGCAUUCUGCUUGUAGAGAAGGAUUGUCUUUAUGCAUUCUAUCUAGAAUAGUGAAAUACUGACAUUGUUGCGUGCUAUCUACGUUCUGAAAGGAAAGAUGUCAUUCUGUUGCCUUUAAUGGAUCUGAUGGAAGAUCAAGUAAUUUUAUGACAAUCUCAAAUAAUUGGGAGAAUACCUUGUUCCAUUUUGUUGCAUAUAGGGAUGAGAUUUUGAACUGGCAAAGAUCUUUUAGUUUGUGGCAAGAGUGCUAGAUUUGAAAAUGGAAAUGGCUGAAUGGUAGAA
rnacentral:misc_RNA from 1 species